GAUGAACGCUGGCGGCGUGCCUAAUACAUGCCAGUCGAGCGAACAGACGAGGAGCUUGCUCCUCUGACGUUAGCGGCGGACGGGUGAGUAACACGUGGAUAACCUACCUAUAAGACUGGGAUAACUUCGGGAAACCGGAGUUAAUACCGGAUAAUAUAUUGAACCGCAUGGUUCAAUAGUGAAAGACGGUUUUGCUGUCACUUAUAGAUGGAUUCGCGCCGCAUUAGCUAGUUGGUAAGGUAACGGCUUACCAAGGCAACGAUGCGUAGCCGACCUGAGAGGGUGAUCGGCCACACUGGAACUGAGACACGGUCCAGACUCCUACGGGAGGCAGCAGUAGGGAAUCUUCCGCAAUGGGCGAAAGCCUGACGGAGCAACGCCGCGUGAGUGAUGAAGGUCUUCGGAUCGUAAAACUCUGUUAUUAGGGAAGAACAAAUGUGUAAGUAACUAUGCACGUCUUGACGGUACCUAAUCAGAAAGCCACGGCUAACUACGUG
rnacentral:rRNA from 1 species